GACGAACGCUGGCGGCGUGCCUAACACAUGCAAGUCGAGGGCUUUAGUAGCAAUACAAAGAGCACUGGCGCACGGGUGAGUAACGCGUAGAUCAUCUGCCCCUAACACUGACAUAACAGUUCUAACGGACUGCUAAUAUCAGAUGUGAUGAGCAAUCAUUAAAGGGAAACCGGUUAGGGAUGAGUCUGCGUCUGAUUAGG
rnacentral:rRNA from 1 species